rnacentral:rRNA from 1 species
GAUGAACGCUGACAGAAUGCUUAACACAUGCAAGUCGAUGGGGAAGCGGCGCUUGCGCCGUGGCAACCAUGGCGGACGGGUGAGUAACGCGUAAAGAACUUGCCGGAUGGACCGGGAUAACAGCUGGAAACGGCUGGCAAGACCGGAUACUGUGGGCUGGCCGCAUGGCUGGCCCAUGAAAAGGGAUGCCGUCCGAGAGCUUUGCGUCCUAUUAGCUGGUUGGUAAGGUGACGGCUUACCAAGGCGAUGAUAGGUAGCCGGCCUGAGAGGGUGGACGGCCACAAGGGGACUGAGAUACGGCCCUUACUCCUACGGGAGGCAGCAGUGGGGAAUAUUGGACAAUGGGGGCAACCCUGAUCCAGCAAUUCUGUGUGCACGAAGAAGGUUUUCGGAUCGUAAAGUGCUUUCAGCAGGGAGGAAGGAAGUGACUGACCUGCAGAAGAGCGCG